rnacentral:misc_RNA from 1 species
GAUGAAGAAAGCAGCGAAAUGCGAUAAGUUGUGUGAAUUGCAGAAUUCAGUGAAUCAUCGAAUCUUUGAACGCACAUUGCGCCCUUUGGUAUUCCUUAGGGCAUGCCUGUUCGAUCGUCAUUUAAACCUUCAAGCUAAGCUUGGUGUUGGGUGACUGUCCGCUUCACGGCGGACUCGCCUCAAAAUUAUUGGCGGCCGGUACAUUGGCUUCGAGCGCAGCAGAAACGCGAACUCGGGCCCGUCGUAUUGGCUCCCAGAAGCUAUCUUCACAAUUUUGACCUCGGAUCAGGUAGGGAUACCCGCUGAACUUAAGCAUAUCAAUAAGCGGAGGA